UACAGAGGUCUCAAGCGUUGUUCGGAUUCAUUGGGCGUAAAGGGUGCGUAGGUGGCGCGCUAAGUCAGGUGUGAAAUUUCGGAGCUCAACUCCGAAACUGCAUUUGAUACUGGCGUGCUUGAGGACUGGAGAGGAGACUGGAAUUCACGGUGUAGCAGUGAAAUGCGCAGAUAUCAGGAAGAACACCCGUGGCGAAGGCGGCUCUCUGGGACGGUACUGACGCUGAGACGCGAAAGCGUGGGGAGCGAACAGG
rnacentral:rRNA from 1 species